UGCACUGUGCAUCUAACCCAAUGUGCGCGGACGCCGCAUGCAUGUGCUCUUCGGGGUACACGCAUUGCUGUUGCGACCGCGCCGAACCUACUUCGAAAGUAAAAUUUCUCAGUGGGUAAUCCAUUAGAAGUAAUGACUCGCAUAGACCAUGGCACAACUAAAUGUACGCGCAGGUUCUACCCGGCUCGCCUUUGUGUGAGUGCAGUGCGUAGCUUGUUGUUUCGUACGUGCCACUCCGUAUUAAUUCGUACGUGGGGAUAGAUCAUUGUUUAAUUGUUGGUCUCGGUCUUAACUAGGAAUGCCUUGUACGGGUCUCUGGUUCAACAUACCACCCGGAAUACGUCCCUGCCCUUUGUACACACCGCCCGUCGCUCUUACCGAUGGAUUAUGCUAUGAAUCUAUAGGACUGCCAAAGCGUGUAUGCGCUUAGUGGAAAUAUAUAGAAUAG
rnacentral:rRNA from 2 species